rnacentral:rRNA from 1 species
CCUGCCCAAUGAUUUUUAAAUGGCCGCAGAAAUUUAACUGUGCAAAGGUAGCAUAAUCAUUAGUUUUUUAAUUGAAAGCUUGUAUGAAUGGUUGGACGAGAUAAAUUCUGUCUUUUUAUAAAAAUAUGAAUUUAAUUUUUAAGUUAAAAAGCUUAAAUUAUAUUAAUAGACGAGAAGACCCUAUAGAUCUUUAUAAAAUUAUUAUUAAAUAUUUAAGGAAUAUUAAGUUUUUAAUAUGAAAUUUUAUUUUAUUGGGGUAAUAUAAAGAUUUAAAUAAUUCUUUAUUUUUAAUUACAUAAAUAUAUGAUUAUUAGAUCCAGUAAUAUUGAAAUAAGAUUAAGUUACCUUAGGGAUAACAGCGUAAUUUUUUUAGAGAGUUCAUAUCGAUAAGAAAGUUUGCGACCUCGAUGUUGGAUUAAAAUUUAUUCUAGGAGUAGAAGUUUAGAAUUUUGGUCUGUUCGACCAUUUAAAUUUU